GGUUGUGGUUUAGCGGUAGAGCGCUCACCUAGUACGUUUGAGGUGCUGGGUUCAAUCCUCAGCACCA
rnacentral:tRNA from 1 species